AUGCUUAUAUAACAGCUCUCAAGAGGAAGCUGCAAACAAGCCCAUCUGGUUGCUUGUGCCAGCUGUUUUAGUGGAGGCAUGCUGGAUGUGACUGAGCUCCACCUUCUUUGUUGAGAAAAUAAUUUGGAAAAUGACACAGUCUGAAGAAUAAUGGGACUUCAAAAUCUGGCUCCAAAUUUCCUUGUGAACCAGUCUGCUUCUCUGCAUCUGCAGAAAGGGACAGGAAACUUGGAGGUGCCAUGUUUUGACUUCUGUUUAGAAUGAAGACUUGUUUGGAAAUGUGGGAAGUUCCUCACUACAGAACAGAAUUUCCAAGUUUUUAUCAGCUGUUGCAGAGCAGUGGUGUUCUCUGGAAAUGGAGAUCUUAUGCCAGAUCAAGACCUCAA